rnacentral:piRNA from 1 species
UUCUAAGGCUUUAGGAGAGGGUGG